rnacentral:rRNA from 1 species
GACGAACGCUGGCGGCGUGCCUAAUACAUGCAAGUCGAACGCUGAAGGAGGAGCUUGCUUCUCUGGAUGAGUUGCGAACGGGUGAGUAACGCGUAGGUAACCUGCCUGGUAGCGGGGGAUAACUAUUGGAAACGAUAGCUAAUACCGCAUAAUAGUAGAUGUUGCAUGACAUUUGCUUAAAAGGUGCAAUUGCAUCACUACCAGAUGGACCUGCGUUGUAUUAGCUAGUUGGUGGGGUAACGGCUCACCAAGGCGACGAUACAUAGCCGACCUGAGAGGGUGAUCGGCCACACUGGGACUGAGACACGGCCCAGACUCCUACGGGAGGCAGCAGUAGGGAAUCUUCGGCAAUGGACGGAAGUCUGACCGAGCAACGCCGCGUGAGUGAAGAAGGUUGUCGGAUCGUAAAGCUCUGUUGUAAGAGAAGAACGAGUGUGAGAGUGGAAAGUUCACACUGUGACGGUAUCUUAACAGAAAGGGACGGCUAACUACGUG